rnacentral:rRNA from 1 species
GAGUUUGAUCAUGGCUCAGGACGAACGCUGGCGGCGUGCCUAAUACAUGCAAGUCGAGCGAGCUUGCCUAGAUGAUUUUAGUGCUUGCACUAAAUGAAACUAGAUACAAGCGAGCGGCGGACGGGUGAGUAACACGUGGGUAACCUGCCCAAGAGACUGGGAUAACACCUGGAAACAGAUGCUAAUACCGGAUAACAACACUAGACGCAUGUCUAGAGUUUGAAAGAUGGUUCUGCUAUCACUCUUGGAUGGACCUGCGGUGCAUUAGCUAGUUGGUAAGGUAACGGCUUACCAAGGCAAUGAUGCAUAGCCGAGUUGAGAGACUGAUCGGCCACAUUGGGACUGAGACACGGCCCAAACUCCUACGGGAGGCAGCA